rnacentral:rRNA from 1 species
UUAGAGGAAGUAAAAGUCGUAACAAGGUUUCCGUAGGUGAACCUGCGGAAGGAUCAUUAUUGAAUAAACCUGAUGUGGCUGUUAGCUGGCUUUUGAAGCAUGUGCUCGUCCAUCAUCAUUAUCUAUUCACCUGUGCACAUUUUGUAGUCUUGGAUACCUCUCGAGGCAACUCGGAUUUGAGGAUCGCUGUACUGUGUAACAAGUCAGCUUUCCUUUCAUUUCCAAGACUAUGUUUUUAUAUAUACACCAAAGUAUGUUUAAAGAAUGUCAUCAAUAGGAACUUGUUUCCUAUAAAAAUUAUACAACUUUCAGCAACGGAUCUCUUGGCUCUCGCAUCGAUGAAGAACGCAGCGAAAUGCGAUAAGUAAUGUGAAUUGCAGAAUUCAGUGAAUCAUCGAAUCUUUGAACGCACCUUGCGCUCCUUGGUACUCCGAGGAGCAUGCCUGUUUGAGUGUCAUUAAAUUAUCAACCUUCCAACUUUUAUUAGCUUGGUUAGGCUUGGAUGUGGGGGUUGCAGGCUUCAUUAGUGGGGUCAGCUCUCCUUAAAUGCAUUAGUGGAACUUUUGUAGACCAUUUAUUGGUGUGAUAAUUAUCUAUGCCGUGAAUGUGAAGCAGCUUUAUAAAGUUCAGCUUCUAACCGUCCAUUGGAUUGGACAACUUUGACAAUUUGGCCUCAAAUCAGGUAGGACUACCCGCUGAACUUAAGCAUAUCAAUA